GCAGAAGUGGUGGAAUUGGUAGACACGUUGGACUUAAAAUCCAAUGGGCCGUAAUGCCCGUGCGGGUUCAAGUCCCGCCUUCUGUACAA
rnacentral:tRNA from 1 species